rnacentral:rRNA from 1 species
CCCAGCACAAGCGGUGGAUGAUGUGGUUUAAUUCGAUGCAACGCGAUAAAACCUUACCUACCCUUGACAUGCCAGGUAAUCUUCGCCAGAGAUGGCUUGGUGCUCGAAAGAGAACCUGGACACAGGUGCUGCAUGUCCGUCAGUCAGCUCUGUGUCGUGAGAUGUUGGGUUAAGUCCCGCAAGCGAGCGCAAUCCCUUGUCAUUAGCUUGCUACGAAAGGGCACUCUUAAUGAGACUGCCGGUGACAAACCGGAGGAAGGUGGGGAUGACAGUCUAGGUCUCUCUAUGGCCCUUAUGGGUAGGGCUACACAACGUCUAUACAUGGCCCGGUACAGAGGGCUGCCAACCCGCGAGGGGGAG